rnacentral:rRNA from 2 species
CAAAACUUUUAACAACGGAUCUCUUGGUUCUGGCAUCGAUGAAGAACGCAGCGAAAUGCGAUAAGUAAUGUGAAUUGCAGAAUUCAGUGAAUCAUCGAAUCUUUGAACGCACAUUGCGCCCGCCAGCAUUCUGGCGGGCAUGCCUGUUCGAGCGUCAUU